CUCAGCUUACUGCAGCUCAUACCAUUAGGAUUACUAGUUAAGAUCCAAAUGCUGGUCAAGCGUGAUGUCCCUGCCCAUGACUGCAUGACUUCCACUGAAAACCAUGGAGUCACAUGAAUAUUGGAUGAAAAAUUCAUCCUGCAGAAUCUGUAGUACAGCUUGGGAUGCUCUUGUUGCAGACUGGGAGACAACAGUGCAUUGUUUAACCUCAUACCUAUUUCUGGGAAGUUACAACAAAAUAGGAGCUGGGAGUAAAAGCUCUUUGAGAAGUGCAUAUUUGAUUCUGGGACAGAAAUCUGCAGUUGGGUUUGAAUUCCACAGGAGAGGCUGCUGCCACCGAUACCGCAAAAUGAGGAUCUGGAGCGUACAGAGGAGAGAGGGUGGCUGCUUCCCAGGAUUUCCUGUAUUUCAUUCCUUGCCUGUAAUUAAUUAUAGUAACAUUAUGAAAUUCUAGUCUUUGUAGUGGCUUUAUCAAAACUCCUACCAAUUCCCAGCACAGUGAAACUUUUCUUACGAAUUUAACCUCUGUAUUUGCUGUGUGAGUGGGAACCUCUGAUGCUUGCCAGUUUCUGUCCCUCUGGUGAUUUUGCAAAGUGUAAUCAUUGUAAAAUGCAAUUGCUUAAUAUGUAGCUCAUUCACUAAAACCCCAAGGAUAAGAGGCAGUGAGUAAUGCGAGUCAUUACCGGAGCAAUAGUUUCUAAAGAGAUGAAGAGUCAUGCAUCACAUAUCAAUCAAUUUAGACUUAAAUGAAGAAUUUAUAAAAAUCACUGGUCAGAUGUGAUCGAUAUCAUUCCCAGGCAAAUUAAAGUAGCUUCCCUGGAGUCAUGCACUGCUUCUGAUGUUUCUCUCACAUGGUAUUAGAAGUGCUGAAUGGUUGCAUGCUCCCUUCUGCUCUGUGUAUUGAGAUACCUGUACAGCAGCAGCUCUCCCAAGUGUUUCCAUUCAGUCGACCACUUUUCAACCACUUUGGCUGUGUUUGUAGUGAACCAUACGACCUGGAGUAGGUUGCUUUUACUUCUUCUUCUGCUGAAGAGCUUCUUGGUGCAAGGACGGAAUUUGACUGAUCAAUGUACUGCAGAUGACUGGAGUGUUAAGAUUUCCAUCAUCAUUCUGAGAGGGUAGUGGGUGGUUUAAUGGGUGAUAUGAG
ensembl:lncRNA